UGACUUCUUAGAGGGACUAUCGGUGACUAACCGAUGGAAGUUUGAGGCAAUAACAGGUCUGUGAUGCCCUUAGAUGUUCUGGGCCGCACGCGCGUUACACUGACAGAGGCAGCGAGUUUUUAUAUCCUGGUUCGGAAGGAUUGGNUAAUCUUGUGAAAC
rnacentral:rRNA from 1 species